ensembl:ncRNA F48C5.3 ncRNA
CCAUGUUUUUUCAGUAUUUGCUUGGUUUACUUUUGCUAUGGUUUGAUGAGAAUAAACACAAGCAAUCAAACAGAAAACAAAAACCGAACGCGUGGGUGGGGUGAUCCUGCAAACCCAAUGUACCUCGAGAGAGUUUUCACACCUC